rnacentral:rRNA from 1 species
GACGAACGCUGGCGGCGUGCUUAACACAUGCAAGUCGAACGGAAAGGCCCUGCCUGCAGGGUACUCGAGUGGCGAACGGGUGAGUAACACGUGGGUGAUCUGCCCUGCACUUCGGGAUAAGCCUGGGAAACUGGGUCUAAUACCGGAUAGGAGCCAUUUUUAGUGUGAUGGUUGGAAAGUUUUUUCGGUGUAGGAUGAGCUCGCGGCCUAUCAGCUUGUUGGUGGGGUAAUGGCCUACCAAGGCGGCGACGGGUAGCCGGCCUGAGAGGGUGGACGGCCACAUUGGGACUGAGAUCCGGCCCAGACUCCUACGGGAGGCAGCAGUUGGGAAUAUUGCACAAUGGGCGCAAGCCUGAUGCAGCGACGCCGCGUGGGGGAUGACGGCCUUCGGGUUGUAAACUCCUUUCGCUAGGGACGAAGCUUUUUGUGACGGUACCUAGAUAAGAAGCACCGGCUAACUACGUG